GGGGCUAACUGUAUGCUGAGGGAGGUGGU
rnacentral:piRNA from 1 species